rnacentral:rRNA from 1 species
AACGAACGCUGGCGGCAGGCUUAACACAUGCAAGUCGAGCGCUUCACCUUCGGGUGGGAGCGGCAGACGGGUGAGUAACGCGUGGGAACGUACCCUUCCAGUUCGGGAUAACCCAGGGAAACGUUGGGCUAAUACCGGAUACGUCCGCAAGGAGAAAGGUUUACUGCUGAAGGAUCGGCCCGCGUCGGAUUAGCUAGUUGGUGGGGUAAAGGCCCACCAAGGCGACGAUCCGUAGCUGGUCUGAGAGGAUGANCAGCCACAC